rnacentral:rRNA from 1 species
UCCCUACGGGACGCAGCAGUGGGGAAUAUUGCACAAUGGGGGGAACCCUGAUGCAGCGACGCCGCGUGGGUGAAGGAGCACCUCGGUGCGUAAAGCCCUAUCGGCAGGGAAGAAAAGCGAACAGGUUCGCCUGGACGGUACCUGACUAAGAAGCCCCGGCUAACUACGUGCCAGCAGCCGCGGUAAUACGUAGGUGGCAAGCGUUGUCCGGAUUUACUGGGUGUAAAGGGCGUGCAGCCGGGCUGACAAGUCAGAUGUGAAAUCCCGCGGCUCAACCGCGGAACUGCAUUUGAAACUGUCAGUCU